rnacentral:lncRNA from 1 species
UGGCCAUCGGAUUAAAAACAGUUUGGACGCUCAGGAUUGCGCCGCGUCAUCAGUCAACAGUCCACGGUUUGACCACGCGGAUGAACAGUAACACGGUUUGACCCGACUUUGAACAGUAACGCGGUUUGACUCGGAUGAACAGUAACGCGGUUUGGUUGAAAAUAAUCCUUUGUGAUGCAUGUACCGUACGCGAGAUUUUUCGUCCACUGAUAUGCUGCCACGUCACCAUCAACAGUGCAUAAGAAUUUUAGUCCAACAGGAUCGUGACACCUCCUCAGUCAAUGCCACAUCAUCG